rnacentral:rRNA from 1 species
GACGAACGCGGCGGCGUGCCUAAUACAUGCAAGUCGAGCGAAGUUUUUUGGUGCUUGCACUAGAAAAACUUAGCGGCGAACGGGUGAGUAACACGUAAAGAACCUGCCUCAUAGACUGGGACAACUAUUGGAAACGAUAGCUAAUACCGGAUAACAGUAUUUCUCGCAUGAGAGAUAUUUAAAAGUUGGUUAUGCUAACACUAUGAGAUGGCUUUGCGGUGCAUUAGCUAGUUGGUGGGGUAAAGGCCCACCAAGGCGACGAUGCAUAGCCGACCUGAGAGGGUGAUCGGCCACACUGGGACUGAGACACGGCCCAGACUCCUACGGGAGGCAGCAGUAGGGAAUCUUCCGCAAUGGGCGAAAGCCUGACGGAGCAACGCCGCGUGAGUGAAGAAGGAUUUCGGUUCGUAAAGCUCUGUUGUUAGGGAAGAAUGGAUAUGUAGUAACUAUACAUUAAGAGACGUACCUACCAGAAGCC